rnacentral:lncRNA from 1 species
CACGAGAGUGACACGCGGGUAACCUGUUUCGACACGAUAAGAAAAAAAGUUUUUUUGAUGAUUUUAAUUUUUUAAACUACUAAAAAAAACUUACUAUAAAAUACAAUAGAUAUAAUGAAUAAUGUAUAUAUUGUUUAUUAAUUAUUAUUCUAUAUAAAUUUUAAAAUUGAAGUUUUAUUUAUUUAUUUAUAUAGUAUAUUAUAGGCAAAGAUUGAGAUUAAAAAUCAUAAAACACAUUAAAAAUAAAAAUAUCAAGUAAUUUAAAAAUACCAAACACAUUAAAAAAUUAUAAUAAUUAAUUUACAUGUGCAAAAAAAUAUGCAAACACUCGUAGUCGCAUCCUUUACGCUUUGAGGAUGGGUAUAUGAUCGUGUGAAUUUUUAAAACCAUACAAACUCUCAUGAAUAGUAUUUUUAAGGGGGUUCAAAAUAAACAAAAUUCAGAAUCAUUAAUGUAUAAGUCUGAAAGAUGUGAAAGCAUAAUAAACGUUCAUAAUUGCAUCCUCAACGCUUAGACGAUGGUUAUAUAGUCAUUUAGAUUUUUAAAAUCCUCCAAAUCUCAUGAACAAUGUUUUUAUUUGAGUGCAAAAUUAAUAAAAUUAAUAAUAAUUAUUGUAGAAGUGUGAAAAAUGUAAUCACUCGUAAUGAAAAACUUUAUAACUUUCACGAAGGGGUCAACUCCGAAAUUUAGUAUGUAUAUACUAAUUUAUUAUUAUGUUUUACAUUUUUUUUGUUCAAAUUAUGUUUUUCAUUUUCAUUUUUAUUGAUUUAAAAUAUAUUUUUCUUAACGAGUAACGGGUCGGGUCAUAUUACUCGAUAAUAUUAACGGGUUAAUUUCGGAUUGGAUCAUAUUACCCGUUUACUUUAACGGGUAUUACACGACACGACCUGUUAAGCUAUCGGGUAUGACACGAAAACGACAUGAACACGAGAAACACGACACGAAUGCCAGGUCUAAUUGUCUUCCUGAUUUCUGAAGCAAUUGAAUUGGUCAAAUCAUAAAUAAAAUUGUGAACAAGGAAAAUUCCUGAAACGAAAGAGACAAGAACAAACGCGCACAAACAAAUAUUAUGUAUUUGAUGAUUUUGGGUUACAAUCUCUCUCUAAUUUGAUCCUCUGAUUCGAUCUCCGUAAGGUGUUGAUUUGUGGGAUGUGCGAUUGAUCCAAGGGCCGUCGAGGCUUGAUCUUGGAUGAACGAGGAUGAACGGAUCUUCAAUGGCUUUUGAGCUUGAUCUUGAAGAAUGGUGAUUGACGGAUCUUCAAGGGCUUUUGGGCUUGAUCUUGAAGAACAGUGAUGAACGGAUUUCCGAGGGAACUCGAAGAAUAGUGAUGAACGGAUCUUCGAGAGCUUUUGGGCUUGAACGGAUCUUCGAGAGCUUUUGGGCUUGAACGGAUCUUCGAGGGCUUUAUGUGAUGAAACGAUGAACGCUUUCUUCAAGGGCCGUCGGGGCUUGAUCUUGGAAGAACGGAUGAUGAACGAUGGUGCUUUCUUCAAGGGCCGUCGGGGCUUGAUCUUGAAAGAGCGAUGGACGAAGAACGAAGAACGAAGAGAGCUUUCUUGAUUCUUCGGGAACCUGGAUGCUUGAGAGCUUCAGAGCUUCAGAGCUUCAGAGCUUCAAGGUGUAAUAUGAAUUGGUUCUCCAAAAUGAAUGAAAUGGGCUUGUAUUUAUAGAAUUUUCCAAGGCCUAAUUUUGAAUAUAAUAUUCCAGAUGAAAUAAGUCGUUUCUGCCAGGUGUUGACACGUGUCCUAUUUGAUGACUUUUCCAACUCAUUUCAAUUUUCGUUGAGUCACACGCUACGUGUAAAAUUUAUGUAAUACAUGAGCGUUGAAACUUUGAUUUAUCGGUCAACUUUAUUUACCGAAAUUUCGAUGUCUACAAAUGCCCCCACUUCAAGGCGCGUCGUAUACAUGUGCUUGUCAUGUGUAGGAGAUGUGUUUUGAAGUCCCUUAUUGUAGAUGUCGAUCCAAGAGCCGUUGGGGCUUGAUCUUGAAUUGGGAUGGAAAUUUCUUCAAGGGCCGUUGAGGCUUGAUCUUGAAUUGGGUUGGAGAUUUCUUCAAGGGCCGUUGAUGCUUGAUC